rnacentral:rRNA from 1 species
GACAGAGGUGCCAAGCGUUAGGCGGAAUCACUGGGCUUAAAGCGUGUGUAGGCGGACCGUUAAGUACCUUGUGAAAUCCCACGGCUCAACCGUGGAACUGCUGGGUAUACUGGCGGUCUUGAGCCACCUAGGGGCGAGCGGAACAAGCGGUGGAGCGGUGAAAUGCGUAGAUAUCGCUUGGAACGCCAAUGGUGAAAACAGCUCGCUGGGGGUGUGCUGACGCUGAGACACGAAAGCCAGGGGAGCAAACGGGG